CUUUACUGUUUGAAAAGCUACCAUUAAAUAACACUUUUUGCCUUCUCCUGGAUAGAUAGCUUUCCAUCCAGGAUAGAGCUGCAGACUUAAAGACAUAACAUUUGAGUUUACCUAGUAACAGUUCAUGAUAAAAAGCAGCACUGAAAUCUAGCAACACUGCACCAACUAACUUCCUGUCAUCCAUAAUCUUUAACCAAUCAUCUGUCAUUUGUGCUAAGGCCGUACUCAUAGAAUGCCCUUCUUUGUAUGCUGGAAUCCCGUUAUCAGACCAUUACAUGAGAAAUAAUCCUUGAUUUGUACAGAUACAAUUUUUUCCAAUAAUUUACUUAACACAGACAGCAAGCUUAUAGGAUGACUAUUAGGACCAGUGAAUGCAGAUGUUUUAUCCUUAGGUAGUGGAAUAACCUUUGACUCUUUCCAGACUUCUGGUUAGCUGUAACUGUAAGCAAUUUGGCCUCAAGAUUAUCUGUACCAGGUGACUUGUCAUCCGAAAGAGACAACAGCAUCCGUUCUACCUCUUACCUUUCUACUUGAUGAAAUUCAAACAUGCAUUGCCUCUCCUUCAUGAUACAAUCUUUUAUCAAACUACCUAGUUAGAUAAUAAAAGUUUACAAUAUUUUUCCUAUUCAUAUCUGGAUCCUGGGACGCAGUUAGCGUUAACACUGGGACCGCUGAUAUAUGUCCCGGGAUCCGUGCUCAAACAAGGUGGCACUACAUUGGCAAAGCAGCUAGCCUAGCUGCUAGCUAUCAAGCGAGGCAAACUGGUCUACUAUUGCCGGAUACCAAGCAUGCUAAGCGGUUAGCCCUUUGUGGCUAGGGCCGCACUUCUAUUUGUCUCGAUUUUAGGACUACCGAUUUCCAGAGUUUUCUACUGCCAGCGUCUCUCAUUUCAUGGAAUGAAUAGCGGGCUCGUCCUACUAUUAGUACUGUCAUUCCUCCGAAAAAAGACGAGGAUCACAUCUCUGCUGGGCAGGUACGUGAACUCUUGGAGAAGCAGAAUGUUUUCUAUAAGGAAAUGAUACUUCAGCAGGAAAAUAACUUUAAAAGCUUCAUACAAAUGAUCAUGGAGUCUACCAACAAACGGCUGGACGACCUGACUAAAGAUGUACAUGACAUUAAAACAAGCCUUCAGUUCACAGAAGGAUGGGGAUGUAUUGAAGACCACACAGGAUACACUCCCCAGAAUCUGUUCCUCUAUGCGGAAUAAAAUCACCACAGUCAGGGAGGGCCUCCAGAACAUGUCUGGGAAGGCUGAUUACCUGGAUGGAGAAUCCAGGAUAAAUAAUUUUGUAAUAGAUGGUAUCCAGGAGAGCCAAAGUGAGACAUGGGCUGAAUCAGAGGACAAAGUUCGAAAACUGUUUUCUGAGGAGCUACAAUUGGAUCGACAGGUUGAGCUGGAACAUGCUCACCGGUCUGGGAAACCAGGGGACACUGGCAGUGCCAAUGGUGGUGCCAAUGGAACUAGACCCAGGCCAAUUGUAGUGAAAUUCCUCAGGUUCAAGGAUAAGCUUGCAGUCCUUGAAAAAGCCAAACGCCUUAAAAGGGUCCUUCAUCUUCAUCAAUGAGGAUUUCUCAGAUGCAGUCCGUCAAAGAAGAAAGGAACUAAUACCAGCUAUGAAGGCUGCAAGAGAACGAGGUGACAUAGCAUAUCUGAGUUGGACAUAGAUGAUCUACACGCAUAACAAAAUCCUAUACUCAGUCCAUGACCCCCCCCCCUCCACCAAGUCGACACCGCGAUGGCUCUCAAGGAACAACACUGGACUAUGUGGAAACUGGAAAUCGCAUAUCCCGAGGCAGUAUUUAUUGUAGCUGGGGACUUUAAUAAAGGAAAUCUGAGGAAAAUGCUCCCAAAAUUCUAUCAACACAUCUCCUGUACUACUCGUGCAUCAUGGACUCUGGAUCAUUGCUACUCUUCCUUCCAGGACGGCUACAAGGACCUACCCCGCCCUUCCUUUGACAAAUCAGAUCACGCCUCUAUUCUGCUCCUCUCCACCUAUAGGCUGAAACUUAAGCAGGAAGCACCCGUGGUAAGGACUGUUCAAUGUUGGUCUGACCAAUUGGAAUCUAUGCUUCCAGAUUGUUUUGAUCACGACUGGGAAAUAUUCCGGGUCCCUCUGAGAAUAGUAUCGACGCAAACACUGACUCGGUGACUGGGUUCAUCAGGAAGUGCAUAGAAUAUGUUGUUCCCACUGUGUGAUGAUUAGAACUUAUCCAAACCAAAAACCAGCCACAUUUGUGCAAAACUGAAAGCACGAACCACCACAUUUAACCACGGCAAGGUGACUGGGAAUAUGGACAUGUACAAACAGACCAGUUAUGACCUCCUUAAGGCAAUCAAAGAGGCAAAAUGAAAGUACAGGGACAAAGUAAAGUUGCAAUUCAAUGGCUCAGACACGCGACGUAUGUGGCAGGGACUCCAGACAAUCACACAUUCUAAACGGAAAGCCAGCCACGUCGCUGGCAAUGACACCGCGCUCCCGGACAAGCUAAACAGCUUCAUCCUCUUCGAGGAAAACAACAUUGAGCUGCCGGGUCUCCCGCCGCUCACGGGGACUGUGUACUUUUGUUCUCCGUGGCCGACGUGAGUAAGUCAUUUAAGCGUGUUAACCCUCGCAAGGCUGCCUGCCCAGACGGCAUCCCAAGCCACAUCAUCAGAGCAUGCGCAGACCAACUGGCUGGACUGUUUACGGACAUAUUCAAUCUCUCCAUAUCUCAGUCUGUUGUCCCCAGAAAGCAAAGGUAACUGAAUUAAAUGACUAUCGCCCCAUAGCACUCACUUCUGUCAUCAUGAAGUGCUUUGAGACGCUAGUUAAAGUCCAUAUAACCCCCACCUUACCCGACACCCUAGACCCACUACAAUUCACAUACCACCCCAACAUAUCCACGGACAACGCAAUCGCCAUUGCACUGCACACUGCCCUUUCCAACCUGGACAAAAUACAUACCUAUGUAAGAAUGCUGUUCAUCGGCUACAGUUCAGCCUUGAACCCCAUAAUGCCCUCCGAGCUUAUCAAUAAGCUCACAGACCUGUUCAACUUCAAGAGGCUUAAAAAUUCCCGCCUGGUAUGGCAAUUGCACCAUCCGCAAACGCAGGGCUCUCCAGAGGGUGGUACGGUCAGCCCAACACAUCACCAGGAGCACACUGCCUGCCCUCCAGGACAUCUACAGCACCCGGUUUUACAGGAAGGCCAAGAAGAUCAUCAAGAACCUCAGCCACCCGAGCCACAGCCUUUUCACCCCGUUACCAUCUAGAAGGCGGAGACAGUACAGGUGCUUUAAAGCUAGGAC
rnacentral:lncRNA from 1 species